AUGCUUCACUUCUCUCAAUUUUAUCCGAAGCUCGUAAGAUAUAUUGGAGCCUUCAUAUCGAUAGUGUAAAACCAAAACAUGGAUAAACGAUAACUUCUUAAAUAAAGCCAAUAAAAUUCAAUUUAUCCAGUUUAACACCAAAUCCAAAACUAAUAUGUGUCCCUCUAUUUUCAAGUGCUAAUUGGAAAGGCCCAAAUAGCAGCACAUCGCCCAAAUGGCUAGAAUCCGAACGAUAACUACUGAUUGCAACUGUCAGAGAGAAUUUAAGGAUGCCAUUCGGCGCCAGAAUACCACCACUAAUUUCGGAAACAUUUAACCUAAUACAUAGUGUUAUUUGCUCAAUUUUGAGGUGUCUUCGUCACAUUAAAUAAUCGGGAGAUCAGCUUUGCGUACUAGCUUUAAAAGCCAUUGAGUGCUCAGUCUGACUUUAACAAAAUUGUUAAUAAAAAUCAAGCAAAAGGUCGUCAAUUUAGACGAAUAGAAUUAGUAAAAAUAUUGAAAGCUGAGUUUCUUCAGAUGAAGUGGAUUAGUCGAUAUAUGUAGUGGCACAUUAAAUAACUUGAAUAUAGUGGAA